GACGAACGCCGGCGGCGUGCUUUACACAUGCAAGUCGAACGGUGAAGGUGGAGCUUGCUCCGCCGGAUCAGUGGCGAACGGGUGAGUAACACGUGGGCAACCUGCCCCUAACUUUGGGAUAACUACUCGAAAGAGUAGCUAAUACCGGAUAUGAAGUCUGUAGGCAUCUAUGGAUUUGGAAAGUUUUUCGGUUAGGGAUGGGCCCGCGGCCUAUCAGCUUGUUGGUGAGGUAGUGGCUCACCAAGGCGACGACGGGUAGCCGGCCUGAGAGGGCGACCGGCCACACUGGGACUGAGACACGGCCCAGACUCCGACGGGAGGCAGCAGUGGGGAAUAUUGCGCAAUGGGCGAAAGCCUGACGCAGCAACGCCGCGUGCGGGAUGAAGGCCUUCGGGUUGUAAACCGCUUUCAGCAGGGAAGAAGCGAAAGUGACGGUACCUGCAGAAGAAGCACCGGCUAACUACGUGCCAGCCGCCGCCGUAA
rnacentral:rRNA from 1 species